rnacentral:rRNA from 1 species
AGCAAACGCUGGCGGCAGGCCUAACACAUGCAAGUCGAACGGACCUUUCGGGGUUAGUGGCGGACGGGUGAGUAACACGUGGGAACGUGCCUUUAGGUUCGGAAUAGCUCCUGGAAACGGGUGGUAAUGCCGAAUGUGCCCUUCGGGGGAAAGAUUUAUCGCCUUUAGAGCGGCCCGCGUCUGAUUAGCUAGUUGGUGAGGUAAAGGCUCACCAAGGCGACGAUCAGUAGCUGGUCUGAGAGGAUGACCAGCCACAUUGGGACUGAGACACGGCCCAAACUCCUACGGGAGGCAGCAGUGGGGAAUCUUGCGCAAUGGGCGAAAGCCUGACGCAGCCAUGCCGCGUGGAUGAUGAAGGUCUUAGGAUUGUAAAAUCCUUUCACCGGUGAAGAUAAUGACUGUAGCCGGAGAAGAAGCCCCGGCUAACUUCGUGCCAGCCGCCGCCGUAAUAC